CCUAUCAAACCUUAGAUUCGCGUUGUAAAAGUUUGAUAACUAAAUAGGAAAAAAAAAUUAAUGGGUUAACCUAAAAUUAACUGGGCUAACUCGUUAAACCAGGUUACCCUGUCAAACCCGAAAUCUGUAUCGUAAAAGUUUGAUAACUAAAUAAAAAAAAAUUUAACAUUAACAAUUUAAAUUAAAUAAAAAAAUCAAUUAAAAAGAAAAACAACUACAAAAGCCAUCAGCCUUUUCACUAUAGACUGCAUUGUGCAGUCCAUAGUCAAAGACAUGAAAAAAA